rnacentral:rRNA from 1 species
GGAAACGAGUUAUCUGAACCUUCGGGGGACGAUAACGGCGUCGAGCGGCGGACGGGUGAGUAAUGCCUAGGAAAUUGCCCUGAUGUGGGGGAUAACCAUUGGAAACGAUGGCUAAUACCGCAUGAUGCCUACGGGCCAAAGAGGGGGACCUUCGGGCCUCUCGCGUCAGGAUAUGCCUAGGUGGGAUUAGCUAGUUGGUGAGGUAAGGGCUCACCAAGGCGACGAUCCCUAGCUGGUCUGAGAGGAUGAUCAGCCACACUGGAACUGAGACACGGUCCAGACUCCUACGGGAGGCAGCAGUGGGGAAUAUUGCACAAUGGGCGCAAGCCUGAUGCAGCCAUGCCGCGUGUGUGAAGAAGGCCUUCGGGUUGUAAAGCACUUUCAGUCGUGAGGAAGGUAGUGUAGUUAAUAGCUGCAUUAUUUGACGUUAGCGACAGAAGAAGCACCGGCUAACUCCGUGCCAGCAGCCGCGGUAAUACGGAGGGUGCGAGCGUUAAUCGGAAUUACUGGGCGUAAAGCGCAUGCAGGUGGUUUGUUAAGUCAGAUGUGAAAGCCCGGGGCUCAACCUCGGAAUUGCAUUUGAAACUGGCAGACUAGAGUACUGUAGAGGGGGGUAGAAUUUCAGGUGUAGCGGUGAAAUGCGUAGAGAUCUGAAGGAAUACCGGUGGCGAAGGCGGCCCCCUGGACAGAUACUGACACUCAGAUGCGAAAGCGUGGGGAGCAAACAGGAUUAGAUACCCUGGUAGUCCACGCCGUAAACGAUGUCUACUUGGAGGUUGUGGCCUUGAGCCGUGGCUUUCGGAGCUAACGCGUUAAGUAGACCGCCUGGGGAGUACGGUCGCAAGAUUAAAACUCAAAUGAAUUGACGGGGGCCCGCACAAGCGGUGGAGCAUGUGGUUUAAUUCGAUGCAACGCGAAGAACCUUACCUACUCUUGACAUCCAGAGAACUUUCCAGAGAUGGAUUGGUGCCUUCGG